UACCCGCAGCACAAGUGGUGGUCAUUAUUAUUGGGCCUAAAGCGUCCGUAGCUGGCUUGUUAGAUGCCUGGGUAAAUCGAUGCGCUCAACGUAUCGAACUCCGGGUAGACCGGCAAGCUUGGGACCGGGAGAGGCGUGAGCUACUCGAGGGGUAGGGGGUAAAAAUCCUGUAAUCCUUCGGGGAGGACCAGUGGCGAAGGCGUCACGCUAGAACGGCUCCGACAGUGAGGGACGAAGCCCUGGGGCGCAAACCGG
rnacentral:rRNA from 1 species